UACGGAGGGAGCUAGCGUUGUUCGGAAAUACUGGGCGUAAAGCGCACGCAGGCGGCUGUGCACGUGGGGUGUGAAAGCUGGCGGCUUAACUGCCAGACGCCACCUCAUACGGCACGGCUCGAGCCCGUGAGAGGUCCACGGAAUUGCCGGUGUAGUGGUGAAAUGCGUAGAGAUCGGCAGGAACACCCAGGGGGAAACCAGUGGACUGGCACGGUGCUGACGCUCAGGUGCGAAAGCGUGGGGAGCGAACCGG
rnacentral:rRNA from 1 species